rnacentral:rRNA from 1 species
CAGCACCUCAAGUGGUCAGGAUGAUUAUUGGGCCUAAAGCAUCCGUAGCUUGCUUUGUCAGUUUUCGGUUAAAUCCAUACGCUCAACGUAUGGGCUGCCGGGAAUACUGCAAGGCUAGGGAGUGGGAGAGGUAGACGGUACUCGGUAGGAAGGGGUAAAAUCCUUUGAUCUAUUGAUGACCACCUGUGGCGAAGGCGGUCUACCAGAACACGUCCGACGGUGAGGGAUGAAAGCUGGGGGAGCAAACCGGAUUAGAUACCCGUGUAGUCC